rnacentral:tRNA from 1 species
GCUAGCUCAAUCGGUAGAGCGUGAGACUCUUAAUCUCAAGGUUGCGGGUUCGACCCCCGCGU